rnacentral:rRNA from 1 species
AUUGAACGCUGGCGGCAGGCCUAACACAUGCAAGUCGAACGAGUGGCGGACGGGUGAGUAAUGUCUGGGAAACUGCCCGAUGGAGGGGGAUAACUACUGGAAACGGUAGCUAAUACCGCAUACCAUCGGAUGUGCCCCGAUGGGAUUAGCUAGUAGGUGGGGUAAUGGCUCACCUAGGCGACGAUCCCUAGCUGGUCUGAGAGGAUGACCAGCCACACGGGAACUGAGACCCGGUCCAGACGCCUACGGGAGGCAGCAGUGGGGAAUAUUGCACAAUGGGCGCAAGCCGGAUGCAGCCAUGCCGUGUGUAUGAAGAGGGCCUUCGGGUUGUAAAGUACUUUCAGCGGGGAGGCGUUACCCGGAGAAGAAGCACCGGCUAACUCCGUGCCAGCCGCCGCGGUAAUAC